AAGAUCAGUUUGGCAUCUUCUUUUAAAAAAUUGUGAACAAAUCUUUCCAUUUAAAGCCCUACCCUAUUCCACCCUUCUAUCCAGAAAUACAAUUCCUAAGCUUUUCUGAGGUUCUAAAAUAGAACUGCCUCUCUCUCUUUCCCCUCUUUCUCCCUUUCUUCCUGCCUACCUCCUUUUCUUUCUCCCUUAUCUUCUCACUCCUUGGCUUAACUUUAAUCAAUCCAGCUUUCAGUUUCCAAAAGUGUUUUGAUAUCAUCAUCUGUUUUUGUCUCCUUUUUCAUUUUUGCUUGUGUAGUACGAUUUAAAAAAUAUAUAAAUAUACUGUCAUUUAAAUGGUGUUUCAGAAAGGAGUAGAGAUAAACACAGGUUUAAUCCACUGUAUUUUAAAAACCUCAUUUUAUGAUAUGACCACCCAUUCAAGAAUAUGUCUCCAUUUAUUUAAGUCAAAUCUACUAAUUAAAUUUAAUGUUUGUCUUCAUAGAGAUUAAAUGCAGCUUUUAUUAAGUUACAUUCUAAAUAAUGCAGUUUUUCCUUGUUAUUUAGAAUGAACUCUCUUUUUCCUUUCUAUUUUCUACCUAGUUAUAACUUGGUGAUAUUACUUUAGUGUACUUAUAUCUGGAAAAUUUAUUAAACUCAUUGGUUCUAUAAUUUCUGCACUGGUUGUUUUAGAUUUCAUAGCAUAUAAUCAUUUUAUUCAAAUAAUAUUUUAUCUCUCUAUGUGUUUUAUUAAUCUAUUAUGUUUCUUUUUCUGUUUUUAUGUAUAAAAAUAUUCAAAAACAUUUAAAAUAAUAUUGGUAAUAAUUAAUAUCCUUAUUUGACCCCUAAUUUGGAAGGAAUACUUUUAGUAGAGUUCUAAUGGAUAUAAUAUGGACUUCUGUUUUGAAAUGUCAUUAUUUUUAGAAUGUAUUUUAAGACAAACUAAAAAACUGAAAAAAACAUGUCCAAAGUUCACAGAAGCCAACUUUAAAGGGGCUCCAUCUGGACAUAUUUGGGACACUCAUGUCCCCAAUCAAAUAAAUAAUGAUAAAAAUGGGUUAUAACACACUGAUUUAAAAACAGUAAUCCAUAAGUCACAUCGAUACAUAAAUUAGAAAACAGAUGAUGGGAAAGUGCUUUUUUAUAGAAGAAUGCCUGCUAAUAAAUGUAGAAAGUAUAUGAGGAAUGGAAAAUUACUUUUAUUUACAAUAAAUCAAUUCAGGCAAUAGUCACCAGUUGAUGCUAAAAUUGUUGGGUAAAAAAAUAAAAAUAGAAAUAUAAUUAUCUUCUUUAAUAAAAAUAAAAUUAUAUGGAUCAAUUCACAGAUAACUUAUUAAUAAGAAAGAUACUUACAAAAUGGAGAAAUCUGGCAGCUACCAUCUUAACUAUAUGAUUAAAUUUCACAACACCAGUAAAGGACAGUGUCGCAUCACGUGCCUCCUAAUAUGUUGUACUUCAGAAGAGGAAAAGGUGCCUCUUUUGUUAUAUUCCUGACAAUAAUGUGUAACCUAAGUAGAAUCCUCAGACAAAUUUGAAAUGAGAGGAAGAGUCUGAAAAGCAACUGACCUAGACUCUUCCAAAAUGUCAGUGAUGUGGAAAAACUAAACAAAAGUAGGGAAUUUCUCUAACUGAAAAGAGAAUGAUGAUUGUUUGGAUCCUAAUUUUAAAAAGAAAACAAUAAAACAGCAAAACCAACAGAAGGUUAGAGUGCCUUGGAGACAAAUGGCAAAAGAAAUACAGAUUGUAAAUUAUAUGCAGUAUCAGUGUAAAGUUUCCUGAACAUGAUAAUUAUAUCAUCGCAGUUAUGUAGAGUGUCACUGUUUGGUGAUACAUACUGAAGUACAUAUGGAUCAAGUGCCAUGGACUUUUACAAGUAACUCUCAAAUGGUUCAGCAAAAGCAGUGUAUGUAUGCUGGUGGCUGCAGCUCCGAUUUGAUCCCUAACCUGGGAAUCUCCAUUUGCCGAGGGAGCGGCUAAAGAAAUGGCAAAAAGACAAAAAAAAAAAACUAGGAAAACAGAUGUAACUGCAACAUCCAGAGAUAAUCAUUUCAGUGCUUAUCCUUCCAGAUCGUUCUCUUUAGGGACAUCUGUUUUUUAGGUGAGUUCAUAUGGUAUAUGCCCCUUUACUUGAAAUUUUUUUCAUUAACAAUAUAUUGUGGACAUCUUUCCAGAUUAUUUAAUUUUCUUCUAGACUAUUAUUUUAAGUAGCUGUACAAUAUUGUGUAUUUGUUCCAUGACUUAUUCAAAUAGCUUCUGUUACUGAUUUAAUUUUUUUAUUUUACUAGUGUUCUUAUUACAUUGAUGAAAUAAAAUCUUUGGUCACAAUUUCUUUUAAAUAAAAAAUAUAAUAGCUAGAUCAAAGAGGUUGAAAUUUUAAAAUUUUUAUACGUAUUGCUUAACUGCUUUUUUAAAAAGUACUCUAUCUUGAAAUAGCUUAAUAUAAUUUUUAGAGAAAACCAAUAAAGAAAGUGGCUGGUUUAAAUACUGAGAACUCUACAUAAUCUCUUAGCAAUCUAUAACAUUGUUGGUUGAUUUUAUGAAGGUGAGAAUAAAUUAGUUAUUUCCUGCUAUCAUUAGGAAUAACAUUAAAAAUUUCCGGUAUAAAUUGAAAGUGAGAAAGAGCAUAAGACAUUUUACCAAUAUUAUAAAAGCUAUGAGUUUAUAUAGGAAACAAUUUGAUGAAUGUAGUCUUUCCUUCUUUUUUCCCAAAAUAGAGAUGUUUUUAUUAAUAUUCUAAAUAAUAAAAAUAACAUGAGCUCAUGUUGCAAGUCUGUUUUGCAAGUGGCUUUUAUAAAAGUCUUGCUAAAGUCUUCCCAUAUUACUACAUAGAUUUCCCUUACUCUGUAAUUCCCGAAUACUAUAUGGUAUGGUUAUAUCAUAUUUUAGUAAAUAAAUUCCUCAUUGGUAGUUAUUUAGAUUAUUUUUUACUCAGUUACAAAUAAUAAGUAUAUUUUUUGUCUUUUACAGACAUCCAUGUGCUUUAUUUAUUCCAUGAAAUAAAUAUAGCUGUAGCAGUAGAACUGUUAUUGAUAACAAUGUUUGAUAAAAUAUUUGAUAAAAUUGAUAUCAUUGUUAUUGAUAAAAUGAUAAAACUCUGAGUUCUGGAAUUAGAGCUUGAAUACUACCCUCCAUCACGGACAUGCUGUUUAACUUUGGCAAGCUAAUUGAUCUUACCAUUAAAAUGACAUGAAAUCUAAUGGUUGAGGAAUUCUGUAUCCUCUCCUAAUAAUGAAAUUCAUGUAAGGCAAUUACUUUGUACCUGUUGUACUUGGCACAUAGUAAGUGCUAAAAUAACCCUAUUGUUAACAUAAAUUUUUUCUUUAGUGAAUUUUCUGUUCAUUUCUUUUGGACAGUUUCCUUUUAUUUUAUUAAUUAAUUUUUGUAUCAAGAAUAUUUACUAGUGGAGUUCCUGUAGUGGCACAGCAGAAACAAAUCUGACUAGUACCCAUGAGGACACGGGUUUGAUCCCCGGCCUCCCCCAGUGGGUCAGGAAUCCAGCGUUGCCCUGAGCUGUGGUGUACAUUGCUGAUGGGACUUGAAUCCCGAGUUGCUGUGGUGGCGGUGUAGGCCAGCAGCUGUAGCUCUGAUUCGACCCCUAGCCUGGGAACUUCCAUGUGCCACAAAUACAGCCUUUAAAAGAAAAAAAUCAAUAGUCCCUACUAUAAAUUAAAAAUAUUUUUUCUCAAUUUAUCAUGUCUAUAUUCUAGUUUAGUCAGAUAUGUUAGUCUUUUAUGAUUUCUGGUCUUAGUGUCAUGCUUAGAAAGGAAAUCUCUACUGCAAGAUUUUGUUAAUCCUGUAUUUUCAUCUAGAGAUCUUAGUUUUAUUUUCUAUGUUUAAAUAUUUUCCUCUUUUGUGUGUGGCUAGUACUGCUUCUCCUCCAUUCUCUCCUCUAUUCCCCCAAGGGACAUAUUGGAAAUGUUAGAGUCCUUUUUAAGUUAUCACCACAAUUGAGAAAGCACUACUGGUAUUCACUGGUCAGGAGCCAGGAAUGUCUGCCAGACUCCUUCUGUGCACAGAACUUCUCUCAGUAAAGAAUUUCCGCAUACUCUCAAUCUUACCUUUGCUUUCUGCCAACAACAAACAUCUGAAAACUAAGCAUCUAAGAAUUAAAAAUAAAAAUAACUGGAUUUAAUUCAUUGCUUUGCAGAUUAACUGAGUUUAAAAAUAGUAACACCUGAAUUACAGAGAAAACCUGAAUUUCAUGUACCGGGGGAGUGUUUAGAUUAGUACAACCAUUUUUCGUUGUCUUAUUGUUAAUUGCUCCUUUUCCAUGGUAGUAUAUUCUUGUUUAUUGCCACAAUACCCCUCAAAUAUAACGGAAAACAAAACUAGAAAAUUUCAGUUACCUCUCCUGUUUCUUGCGUUAUUUCUCCUCAUUGAGUACCAUUUGCACAGCUUGUUCACCUUACUCUCCUUUUUGAGCUGCUGAUUUUCUUUUUAUAGCUAGUGAUUUUUAUUUGUAUAGAUAGAUCUUCAUUAGUAGAAUUGAUGUCUCUUUUAGGUUUCUUCAGCAGAUUGGUAAGUCUGGUUGAAGGGAUUCCUCAGCAGAACUUGGCUGGGGAACUGAACUUUUAUGACUUAAUAUGAUCAAUUUGUAAAAUAGAAGUUCAGUCCUUUUCCAUACAUCACAAUGGUCAAAAAGUCAUUCCUUCUUAUUUUAUACUUUUUUUAUAAUAUAUGUAAGAUAAAGUAGUUUGAGUUCAUAGCCUUCUGAUGGUAAAAGUUUAAGAAUACUACUUAAAAGAGUUGAAAAAGAUAUAGCUUACAAAUAAUUUUCCAUAAACAUCAUUUCUCUUAGUGGGUUUCUUUAAAGGUAAUUACCCACAAGAG
rnacentral:lncRNA from 1 species